rnacentral:lncRNA from 1 species
UGGAUGGAAAAGUAAAACUGUAAAAUAUAUUCCCUUCAGGUUCUCCUUUGAAAACAAGACUUCAAGGUAAUUAAAACCAGGCAUGGCAACCACAACACCUUCAUCAUAUCGUAUUGCGAAGAAAAUUACCCGCCACUACAAUCAUAUCUCGUUUUUACGUACAUGGCUCAUAAAAGAAUAUCCCGCUCUUUGACUUAUUUAUUACAGAGGAGAAAAAAAUGAAAGCAGUUGCUCAUCCACAAACCUAACACUGCUCAUUGUCACGGCGGUGGUACUGAUAUUCUUUUUUCUUCCGGUGGGUUUUAUCGUCUACUGGUGUACGAAAAAAAAUUAUCUGCAAUGUCAGGGAGAAGGAUUACUGGGCGCUCCCGCCAGGGCAACGACGAUACAAGCAAUUACAUACAGGUCAGCUCCUGCAAAAUCAAACCUCUUCUUUUCUUAUGAAACUCGUGGAGCUGCUCACUCCUGAAGGUAGGCCAAACUGGAAAGAUCUAGCGGCAAAUUUUGGCGAUUUCGCUUACGAGGAAAUCGCGAACUUCGGAGUUGGCAAAACUACAGUGGAGACCAAAAUCACGUCAACCAUCGACAAAUUAUAUAGAUGUUGUCUCAACAUUAAGAAGGAAGAUGUGGCGACGUACAUUGCCGAUUGUGUAAGCCAAAUAACAGACACUACACUUGUGUAGACAAUUGGCCUUUUUUGACAGGCGAUAUCCGCCGUUUCCUGCAUGCCUAUAUGGGUACCAAGUGAGCACACGACUUCGUUUCGACGUGGAAUUUUGGUUGAACUUUUGU